GACUUUAGAAUAGGAGAGUAGCAGAGCAGCAGAGCAGAGCUAAGAAGGAGAGGGAGCGUGAAAGGAGUAGAAGUAAGCGGUUGCGUUGUUCUGCGAUCUCUGCUACGUGCCGACCCAGGACGGCGCUAAGGGCGGCAGGCACGCGAAGCUACGACGCGACCUCCUCCGCGACAGCACGAGCGGACGCGUUCCACGCCCGAAACGUUCCGUCCCGAGCGACGAGAGGUUCCCCGUCCGCUGUCGGUGACCACUGUGGCACACAGUGUUGUGUGCAUAAAAGUUGAACAUGUGACCCUUCAGUGGUACCUUGUUGGGGCGGCGGAACCUCGAGCCGGGCGGAGGCCGGCCGGUGGAGAGGUAGCCGGAGCACGAGGAGGCGGAGCUAGGCAGGCGGGGUAGCGGUAUAGGCGCGGCCUCGUCGGCCUAGGCGAUGGGUCUGGUGGUUGGUUCUCGGCGGAGAACGGACAGGAUGCCAGCUCUCCUCCUGCUGGCUCUCCUCGCGGGUAACUAGGCGGCGGACCCGGCGGAACCUCGUGCGGGACGGAGGCCGGCGGUGGAGAGGCAGUCGGAGCGCGAUGAGGCUGUACUAGGCAGACGGGGUGGCGGCCUAGGCGGCGGGUCUGGUGGUUGGUUCGUAGCCGGGAAGGGAAAGGACGCCAGCACCCAACUUAUGAGGUUUGCUAUCCCUCAAAACACAUUUUUGUUUCGUAAAAGAACUAAUUCGUGAAUUUUAUCCUGGCGCCCAACUUAUAGUUUUUUGUAUCCCUAAAAAUACGUUUUUAUGUUUGCUGCAUGCUGGUCUUCGCUUCGCUACGCACCAAAUAAUCAUCCCUUUCUAUUUGCCUCAACCUACAUUAUCAUAUAAGGUUACACUACGCUGACAUGAGGGACUUUUCUUUUACUCCAAACCGACAAGC
rnacentral:rRNA from 1 species